UACGUAGGGGGCUAGCGUUGUUCGGAAUUACUGGGCGUAAAGGGCGUGUAGGCGGUCCGCUAAGUCUGAUGUGAAAGCCCGGGGCUCACCCCCGGAAGGGCAUUGGAAACUGGCGGACUCGAGUCUCGGAGAGGAAGGUGGAAUUCCUGGUGUAGCGGUGAAAUGCGUAGAUAUCAGGAGGAAUACCGGUGGCGAAGGCGGCCUUCUGGACGAUGACUGACGCUGGAGACGCGAAAGCGUGGGGAGCAAACAGG
rnacentral:rRNA from 1 species